rnacentral:rRNA from 1 species
UACGUAGGCAGCGAGCGUUGUUCGGAGUUACUGGGCGUAAAGGGUGUGUAGGCGGUUUUUUAAGUUUGGUGUGAAAUCUCCCGGCUCAACCGGGAGGGUGCGCCGAAUACUGAGGGACUAGAGUAUGGGAUGGGAAAGUGGAAUUCCUGGUGUAGCGGUGAAAUGCGUAGAUAUCAGGAGGAACACCUGUGGUGUAGACGGCUUUCUGGACCAUAACUGACGCUGAGACACGAAAGCGUGGGUAGCAAACAGG